CCUACGGGAGGCAGCAGUGAGGAAUAUUGGUCAAUGGACGCGAGUCUGAACCAGCCAAGUAGCGUGAAGGAUGACUGCCCUAUGGGUUGUAAACUUCUUUUAUAUGGGAAUAAAAUGUUCCACGUGUGGGAUGUUGUAUGUACCAUAUGAAUAAGGAUCGGCUAACUCCGUGCCAGCAGCCGCGGUAAUACGGAGGAUCCGAGCGUUAUCCGGAUUUAUUGGGUUUAAAGGGAGCGUAGGUGGAUUGUUAAGUCAGUUGUGAAAGUUUGCGGCUCAACCGUAAAAUUGCAGUUGAAACUGGCAGUCUUGAGUACAGUAGAGGUAGGCGGAAUUCGUGGUGUAGCGGUGAAAUGCUUAGAUAUCACGAAGAACUCCGAUUGCGAAGGCAGCUCACUGGACUGCAACUGACACUGAGGCUCGAAAGUGUGGGUAUCAAACAGGAUUAGAUACCCCGGUAGUC
rnacentral:rRNA from 1 species